rnacentral:tRNA from 1 species
UGGGGUAUCGCCAAGUGGUAAGGCAGCGGGUAUUGGUAGCGCCAUUCGUUAGUUCGAAUCCAGCUACCCCAA